UGCAAGUCGAACGGCAGCACGGACUUCGGUCUGGUGGCGAGUGGCGAACGGGUGAGUAAUACAUCGGAACGUGCCUAGUAGUGGGGGAUAACUACUCGAAAGAGUGGCUAAUACCGCAUGAGAUCUACGGAUGAAAGCAGGGGAUCGCAAGACCUUGUGCUACUAGAGCGGCCGAUGGCAGAUUAGGUAGUUGGUGGGAUAAAAGCUUACCAAGCCAACGAUCUGUAGCUGGUCUGAGAGGACGAUCAGCCACACUGGGACUGAGACACGGCCCAGACUCCUACGGGAGGCAGCAGUGGGGAAUUUUGGACAAUGGGCGAAAGCCUGAUCCAGCAAUGCCGCGUGCAGGAUGAAGGCCUUCGGGUUGUAAACUGCUUUUGUACGGAACGAAAAGCUUCGGGUUAAUACCCUGAAGUCAUGACGGUACCGUAAGAAUAAGCACCGGCUAACUACGUGCCAGCAGCCGCGGUAAUACGUAGGGUGCAAGCGUUAAUCGGAAUUACUGGGCGUAAAGCGUGCGCAGGCGGUUUUGUAAGACAGAGGUGAAAUCCCCGGGCUCAACCUGGGAACUGCCUUUGUGACUGCAAGGCUAGAGUACGGCAGAGGGGGAUGGAAUUCCGCGUGUAGCAGU
rnacentral:rRNA from 1 species